CACUAUCGUUAACUGAAUACAUAGGUUAACGAGGCGAACCGGGGGAACUGAAACAUCUAAGUACCCCGAGGAAAAGAAAUCAACCGAGAUUCCCCCAGUAGCGGCGAGCGAACGGGGAGCAGCCCAGAGUCUGAAUCAGCUUGUGUGUUAGUGGAACGGUCUGGAAAGUCCGACGGUACAGGGUGAUAGUCCCGUACACCAAAAUGCACAGGUUGUGAACUCGAAGAGUAGGGCGGGACACGUGGUAUCCUGUCUGAAUAUGGGGGGACCAUCCUCCAAGGCUAAAUACUCCUGACUGACCGAUAGUGAACCAGUACCGUGAGGGAAAGGCGAAAAGAACCCCGGCGAGGGGAGUGAAAAAGAACCUGAAACCGUGUACGUACAAGCAGUGGGAGCACCUUCGGGUGUGACUGCGUACCUUUUGUAUAAUGGGUCAGCGACUUAUAUUCUGUAGCAAGGUUAACCGUAUAGGGGAGCCGCAGGGAAACCGAGUCUUAACUGGGCGUUAAGUUGCAGGGUAUAGACCCGAAACCCGGUGAUCUAGCCAUGGGCAGGUUGAAGGUUGGGUAACACUAACUGGAGGACCGAACCGACUAAUGUUGAAAAAUUAGCGGAUGACUUGUGGCUGGGGGUGAAAGGCCAAUCAAACCGGGAGAUAGCUGGUUCUCCCCGAAAGCUAUUUAGGUAGCGCCUCGUGAAUUCAUCUUCGGGGGUAGAGCACUGUUUCGGCUAGGGGGUCAUCCCGACUUACCAACCCGAUGCAAACUACGAAUACCGAAGAAUGUUAUCACGGGAGACACACGGCGGGUGCUAACGUCCGUCGUGAAGAGGGAAACAACCCAGACCGCCAGCUAAGGUCCCAAAGUCAUGGUUAAGUGGGAAACGAUGUGGGAAGGCACAGACAGCCAGGAUGUUGGCUUAGAAGCAGCCAUCAUUUAAAGAAAGCGUAAUAGCUCACUGGUCGAGUCGGCCUGCGCGGAAGAUGUAACGGGGCUAAACCAUGCACCGAAGCUGCGGCAGCGACACUAUGUGUUGUUGGGUAGGGGAGCGUUCUGUAAGCCUGCGAAGGUGACCUGUGAGGGUUGCUGGAGGUAUCAGAAGUGCGAAUGCUGACAUAAGUAACGAUAAAGCGGGUGAAAAGCCCGCUCGCCGGAAGACCAAGGGUUCCUGUCCAACGUUAAUCGGGGCAGGGUGAGUCGACCCCUAAGGCGAGGCCGAAAGGCGUAGUCGAUGGGAAACAGGUUAAUAUUCCUGUACUUGGUGUUACUGCGAAGGGGGGACGGAGAAGGCUAUGUUAGCCGGGCGACGGUUGUCCCGGUUUAAGCAUGUAGGCUGGUUGUCCAGGCAAAUCCGGAUAAUCAAGGCUGAGGUGUGAUGACGAGGCACUACGGUGCUGAAGUAACAAAUGCCCUGCUUCCAGGAAAAGCCUCUAAGCAUCAGGUAACAUCAAAUCGUACCCCAAACCGACACAGGUGGUCAGGUAGAGAAUACCAAGGCGCUUGAGAGAACUCGGGUGAAGGAACUAGGCAAAAUGGUGCCGUAACUUCGGGAGAAGGCACGCUGGUGUGUAGGUGAAG
rnacentral:rRNA from 1 species